rnacentral:sRNA from 1 species
UGAUAUGUCUAUUGAGUUGCCUAUAUGA